rnacentral:lncRNA from 1 species
UUUGCUAACCAAUCGGCAUAGACGGCUGGCCUGAUGAAUCCUGCCUUGAGCAGCCUUUCUAUCUCUUCUUUGACUUUUAGUUCUGUGUCCAUAGACAUUCUUCUUCUGGCCUGUUUGACUGGAAGGUAGCCAUCUUUAAUUGGCAGCUUGUGCUCCACUAACUGCCUGUCCAAUCCUGGCAUCUCGUGGUAAUGCCAGGCGAAACAAUCUCUGAACUCCUGCAAAAGUGCCAUGAGUUCAGCCUUGAGUGGUUCCUUUAACAGUAUGCUGAUGAAAGUAGGCCUUGGAUCUUCUUCUGUCCCUAAGUUUAUCUCCUGUAGAGGAUCCUCUACUUCUGGCAGGGAGUCAUCCAGUGCUGCCGG